AAAUCUUUUGUUUUCUCUUGAAGAAAAUGACGGGUUUGAUGUUGGAGAAGGGGAGACGAAUGGUUGGCUUGAAGAUGAAGAUCUCCGGCUUUUCCUCAGCGAUACAGGAUCUGACACUUCUAGUGACCAAGGCGACGCAUGCUAUGAAGAGCGAGACAUACGAGAAGAUGUGGAUGACCAAGAAGAACCCGAAAUUUGGAGUGGAGAAGCGCCGACAGGAGAAGAGUUUGUCGCGGUUGACAACAGCGCUACUGGAGAGAGCGACACACCGGGAGGUAAGAAGCACAUGUUUGUCAAACUCUUAACUAUGUUAUUGUUAGUUUGGCAAACCAUAUUCAAGAUUUCUGAUAACGCCGUGCACUCAUUGUUACUGGCCGUCAAGCUGUUCAUUCAGGUCGUUGGAAAUGUCUAUGGUGUUGAUAGCAUUGUCGGGCUUUCUGAGGCUAUUCCUACCACUUUGUACUCCCUUCGUAAUUGUGUAGGACUCCACCGAGAUGAUUUUGUGAAGUUCGUUGUAUGCCCCAAGUGCAGGACUAGGUAUACUAUGGAAGAGGCAUACCGUACAAAGGCGAAUGGCGAAAAGGUGUCUAGGAAGUGCGAGUUUGUUCCCUUCUAUAGCCAUCCUCACAGGCGGUCUGAGUUACGUCGUAAAUGUGGUACUGUUCUGAUGAAGAAAGUAAAGUCUAUUAAUGGUGUUGGUGAAUAUCUGUAUCCGAAGAGCACGUUUUGCUAUAAGAGCGUUGUGGAAUCUCUUCAAGAACUUGUAAGUAAGCCUAGCUUCCAAGAAAAGUGCGAACAAUGGAGAGA